rnacentral:tRNA from 1 species
GACCUAUUGGCUGAGUUAGUUAUAGUGUCGUGCUUAUAACGCGAAGGUUGCAGAUUCGAGAUCUGCAUGGGCUG